rnacentral:rRNA from 1 species
UACGUAGGGGGCAAGCGUUGUCCGGAAUCAUUGGGCGUAAAGCGCGCGUAAGCGGCCCGAUAAGUCCGCUGUAAAAGUCCAGGGCUCAACCCUGGAAAGCCGGUGGAUACUGUCGGGCUAGAGUCCGGAAGAGGCGAGUGGAAUUCCUGGUGUAGCGGUGGAAUGCGCAGAUAUCAGGAGGAACACCGAUGGCGAAGGCAGCUCGCUGGGACGGUACUGACGCUAAGGCGCGAAAGCCAGGGGAGCGAACGGG